AUACACGAAAAGAAACCUCCAGCACAAUGGGCCCAAACAGAGGCCCCCGUGCGUGUUCUACCACGGUAGAACGGCUACUUAAAAAAAAAAAAAAA